GGCAGCGUAGCGUAGUGGUAAAGGGCAGGGCUCUUAACCGAAAGCUUGCUGGUUCGAUUCCCCGCUGGAG